rnacentral:rRNA from 1 species
GACGAACGCUGGCGGCGUGCUUAACACAUGCAAGUCGAACGGAAAGGCCCUGCUUUUGUGGGGUGCUCGAGUGGCGAACGGGUGAGUAACACGUGAGUAACCUGCCCUUGACUUUGGGAUAACUUCAGGAAACUGGGGCUAAUACCGGAUAGGAGCUCCUGCUGCAUGGUGGGGUUUGGAAAGUUUCGGCGGUUGGGGAUGGACUCGCGGCUUAUCAGCUUGUUGGUGGGGUAGUGGCUUACCAAGGCUUUGACGGGUAGCCGGCCUGAGAGGGUGACCGGCCACAUUGGGACUGAGAUACGGCCCAGACUCCUACGGGAGGCAGCAGUGGGGAAUAUUGCACAAUGGGCGGAAGCCUGAUGCAGAAACGCCGCGUGCGGGAUGACGGCCUUCGGGUUGUAAACCGCUUUCGCCUGUGACGAAGCGUGAGUGACGGUAAUGGGUAAAGAAGCACCGGCUAACUACGUG